rnacentral:rRNA from 1 species
UACGAGUGCCUCGAGCGUUAUCCGGAAUUAUUGGGCGUAAAGCGUGUGUAGGUGGUUGUGUUAGUCUCUUGUUAAAUUCUUCGGCUUAACCGGGGUCCUGCGAGAGAAACGGCACAACUAGAGGAUGCGAGAGGUAUGUGGAACUCAUGGUGUAGGGGUGAAAUCCGUUGAUAUCAUGGGGAACACCAAAUGCGAAGGCAACAUACUGGCGUAUUCCUGACACUGAGACACUAAAGCGUGGGUAGCGAAUGGG